GUGAUGAAUUCCUACCACAGCCAUAUCUACUUUACAUAAUUGCAACCUUUCCACAUAAGCUAUUUGCUUUGUGUUGAGUGUCGUCAAGUCUUGUUGACCCUUGUUAAGAGACUUUUCAUGCUCCUAAGAUCAAGAUCACGUACACACCACAUAUAUAUAUGCUGCUUCUACACUGGAAGUACGCAACCACAUGUAUUUCGCAUCCACUAAAUAGGUUGCUCCAUACUCUAAAUGUUAGAACAUCUCUCUAAGCAUUAUUUGGUAAAUGAGACAUCAAAAGGGCUAGGCAAAAUGAAAUAAAAAGAUGGACAUGUGCAAGUCCACAGAAAAAGAAAAUUGAGCACAUGAAAGCUCAUAUAUAAAAAAAAGAAGAAAAAAAUGCUAGCCAUGUCUCAAUACAUAGAGAGUCUAUCAAAUAAAGGAGCAACCUAGUCCACCAUAUAUCACACUUGCACAUCUUGAUCUGGGAGUAUGACACUUCUCUUCAAGGAUCCGAGCUUUGACUUCGCAAUACAUGCAAAGUAAGUAUGCUAUCUCCUUUCAUCCCUACCUUGAACUCCACAUAAGCCUUUUAGAAAUAGGAUGAAAUAGAGAAGGCAACUCUUACCAUAUGCCUUGGUGAGGAAUCAUACACCAUUUGAGUGACAUGAGAGAACCAUAAGAGGAACAUUUAAGCUUUCUUUUGAAAAAUAUCACAAAACCUCUGAUAUGAAACUUGCUAAGAAUGAGAAAGUUAGUGCUCAAGUCAAACUGUUCUGUCUCUCAACCACCUAAGACAAAGGAAAAGCCAUAAGCCCCAUAAGGGACUAAGGUAAUAGGGGUAAGUUUACAUAGCUAAAUUUUUCAUGCAAAGAGAAGAACUUUGUUGUACACAUGGUACUCUUGAAAUGUGCACAUAGUAACAAUACCUGAUCCACCGAGGCUAAGUUUGAUUGUUUGCUCGGGACGAGCAAAGGUUAAGCUUGGGGGAUCUUGUUGACGGUGGAUAUACCAUAGAAAUCCACAUACAAAACACCGUCAACAUGCCUCGGUUGCAAGGGGAAACGACAUGACAUGAACAUAUUUUAUCCAUAACUAGUUCCACUUGUACUCUUAGCUUGUUUAUGCAGGAACAACAAAUUCAAGACAUUAUUUGACAAAGCCAACAUCAGAAUCAUCAAGAGGAGAUCGAGGGGACAACAGGUGACACCCUGGGCCCACAGGGAGGGGGUCGCCCGACCCCUCUUUGGUGGGACCCAGGUGUGCCACCUAGUCCACCGACAUAAGGGACCCUUGUGGACACUGCUGGUGGGCCC
rnacentral:lncRNA from 1 species